rnacentral:rRNA from 1 species
CCUGGGGAGUACGGCCGCAAGGUUAAAACUCAAAUGAAUUGACGGGGGCCCGCACAAGCGGUGGAGCAUGUGGUUUAAUUCGAUGCAACGCGAAGAACCUUACCUGGUCUUGACAUCCACAGAACUUUCCAGAGAUGGAUUGGUGCCUUCGGGAACUGUGAGACAGGUGCUGCAUGGCUGUCGUCAGCUCGUGUUGUGAAAUGUUGGGUUAAGUCCCGCAACGAGCGCAACCCUUAUCCUUUGUUGCCAGCGGUCCGGCCGGGAACUCAAAGGAGACUGCCAGUGAUAAACUGGAGGAAGGUGGGGAUGACGUCAAGUCAUCAUGGCCCUUACGACCAGGGCUACACACGUGCUACAAUGGCAUAUACAAAGAGAAGCGACCUCGCGAGAGCAAGCGGACCUCAUAAAGUAUGUCGUAGUCCGGAUUGGAGUCUGCAACUCGACUCCAUGAAGUCGGAAUCGCUAGUAAUCGUAGAUCAGAAUGCUACGGUGAAUACGUUCCCGGGCCUUGUACACACCGCCCGUCACACCAUGGGAGUGGGUUGCAAAAGAAGUAGGUAGCUUAACCUUCGGGAGGGCGCUUACCACUUUGUGAUUCAUGACUGGGGUGAAGUCGUAACAAGGUAACCGUAGGGGAACCUGCGGUUGGAUCACCUCCUUACCUUAAAGAA